AACUUUCUAAUUCAAAGAGUCAACACUGCUAAUCAUCUUAAAAUAGUUGUGAUCACCAUAUUUCUACUGUGUAUUGUGAUUUAAGCCAUCAAAAUUUCUUUAGAUGCACUAAAUGGCUUUUGAUCAAAAUAUACUAUUGUGUAUUGAAAAGAUUCAAAAUUUAAACUCUAAGUAAUUUCAAGAUAAACUUCUAACUCUUGUCCCCAAUAUGCAUCAAAC
rnacentral:lncRNA from 1 species